CAUCUGAAAUGCAUUCUUAUCAGAGACUCAUGUAGUAACAUCUCAGAGAACCAAGAAAAUGCAAGAAGAAAUACAAAAUAGACUCAAGAGCUUGAUCCUGCAUUCAGCUGGUGAUUCUGGGAGAAGUUCAUAGAAGGCGGACUUGGAAGAAGUGGACCUUGAGGAGGUGCUCAUGCAUUACUAGAGAUCAGAGAAAGACCUGAACUCCAACAGGGUGUGAGGCCAUGCCCCCAAAGAAGAAGUAUUUGUUAGAAGAAAAGCGAAACUGGAAAAACUCAGAAGAUUGUAAGAGAGGGUGAAGAUAAGGAAAUUGGUUUAAAUGAGAAUGGGUCAGUUGUAACAAAAUCCAGAUUUUUUAGUCUUAGGGACAGAAUGGAAUAAGGAAGUUUUAUAAAGAUAAGUAUCUUAUGAGUAAUUUAUCAAUUGUUUGCCUAUAAAUGAGAUUUUUAAAAUGAAAACUAGAGAAACUUUUCUUAGAAUGAGUGAGAUUGGUGUUUGUUAAUACUGGGUCCAGAGACAGCUUGUUCUCCUAAAGCUGUAGUUUCUAAUGGCACCCACGCACACUGAAGU
rnacentral:lncRNA from 12 species